UUUUGCCUCCUUGUUUUUGAAACUGCAAGAGCAAGGCUUUUAAACUCAUGUUGCUCCCGCAUGUUGCAUGAGACUUGCAAAAGAGUCUUUUUAGUGAGUUGUCACAACUGAUUGCAGAGAGGCCAGAUGCCAGCCUGGAGGCAGAGUCUCCAGCAGGAACCAACCACAGUGAACCAACCAUGGUGGCAUCUUGAUCUUGGGCUUCCAGACUUCAAAACUAUGAGAUUCAAUGAUUCCCCAGGGUCAUGAAGAGGUCGUAGAACUCUGAGGUUGAGCCUCUGCUUUCAUAUUUCCCAGUGAGGACGCCCGCUGGUUGGCAGCAGAGUUGCAGUUAGGUCUCCCCUGGAUUUCCACGACAGCUUCCAAAAGGAUCUGGGUCUUAUCACCACUAAUUUGCCACUGUUCCUUGCAGCUGCUGCUGGGUUGAUGUGGGACUCAAGAUGUGACAUUUAUGAAACUGCAAAGUGUUUUAUGCACUGAAACACUCGUUACCAUCAGCUUUAAGAUGGUGGCUGUCUGUGAAAUCCUGGCUGUUAGCUGCCAUCUUCCCUGUCUUCCUCCUUGCACACUUAGGUCUUAAUCCAAUUAUUCAGCAAAAAGCAGCAUGAGAUCACCUUCCAACAUCUCUCCAGCUCCUUUGGGGUAGGUGAAAAGGGCUUUCCGUGGUGGGG